rnacentral:rRNA from 1 species
CCUACGGGUGGCUGCAGUGAGGAAUAUUGGUCAAUGGACGGAAGUCUGAACCAGCCAUGCCGCGUGCAGGAUGACGGCCCUAUGAGUUUUAAACUGCUUUUGUACGGGAAUAAUAGUUCUUACGUGUAGGGUUUUGAAUGUAUCGUACGAAUAAGGAUCGGCUAACUCCGUGCCAGCAGCCGCGGUAAUACGGAGGAUUCGAGCGUUAUACGGAUUUAUUGGGUUUAAAGGGUGCGUAGGCUGUCGGAUAAGUUAGAGGGUAAAUGUCGGGGCUUAACCCCGGGCCUGCCUCUGAUACUGGUCGACGAGAGAGCGGAUGCAGCAGGCGGAAUGAGUAGUGUAGCGGUGAAAUGCUGAGAUA